rnacentral:rRNA from 1 species
UAGGGAAUCUUCCACAAUGGACGCAAGUCUGAUGGAGCAACGCCGCGUGAGUGAAGAAGGUUUUCGGAUCGUAAAGCUCUGUUGUUGGUGAAGAAGGAUAGAGGCAGUAACUGGUCUUUAUUUGACGGUAAUCAACCAGAAAGUCACGGCUAACUACGUGCCAGCAGCCGCGGUAAUACGUAGGUGGCAAGCGUUGUCCGGAUUUAUUGGGCGUAAAGCGAGCGCAGGCGGAAUGAUAAGUCUGAUGUGAAAGCCCACGGCUCAACCGUGGAACUGCAUCGGAAACUGUCAUUCUUGAGUGCAGAAGGGGGGAGUGGAAUUCCAUGUGUAGCGGUGGAAUGCGUAGAUAUAUGGAAGAACACCAGUGGCGAAGGCGGCUCUAUGGUCUGCAACUGACGCUGAGGCUCGAAAGCAUGGGUAGCGAACAGG